rnacentral:tRNA from 1 species
CAAAAAGUAGUUUAAUUAAGAAUUGGAGCUUUGGGAGCUUUGGGUGUAGGUUCCUAUCUUUUUGA